AACGCGAAGAACCUUACCAGGUCUUGACAUCCUCUGACAAUCCUAGAGAUAGGACGUCCCCUUCGGGGGCAGAGUGACAGGUGGUGCAUGGUUGUCGUCAGCUCGUGUCGUGAGAUGUUGGGUUAAGUCCCGCAACGAGCGCAACCCUUGAUCUUAGUUGCCAGCAUUCAGUUGGGCACUCUAAGGUGACUGCCGGUGACAAACCGGAGGAAGGUGGGGAUGACGUCAAAUCAUCAUGCCCCUUAUGACCUGGGCUACACACGUGCUACAAUGGACAGAACAAAGGGCAGCGAAACCGCGAGGUUAAGCCAAUCCCACAAAUCUGUUCUCAGUUCGGAUCGCAGUCUGCAACUCGACUGCGUGAAGCUGGAAUCGCUAGUAAUCGCGGAUCAGCAUGCCGCGGUGAAUACGUUCCCGGGCCUUGUACACACCG
rnacentral:rRNA from 6 species